rnacentral:rRNA from 1 species
GACGAACGCUGGCGGCGUGCUUAACACAUGCAAGUCGAACGAAGCGGCGGACGGGUGAGUAAUGCCUAGGAAUCUGCCUGGUAGUGGGGGAUGACGUCCGGUAACGGGCGCUAAUACCGCAUCCUAUCAGAUGAGCCUAGGUGGGAUUAGUUGGUUGGUGGGGUAAAGGCCUACCACGGCGACGACCCGUAACUGGUCUGAGAGGAUGAUCAGUCACACUGGAACUGAGACACGGUCCAGACUCCUACGGGAGGCAGCAGUGGGGAAUAUUGGACAAUGGGCGAAAGCCUGAUCCAGCCAUGCCGCGUGUGUGAAGAAGGUCUUCGGAUUGUAAAGCACUUUAAGUUGGGAGGCGUUACCAACAGAAUAAGCACCGGCUAACUUCGUGCCAGCCGCCGCGGUAAUAC